GGUUGACCUCGGAUCAGGUAGGGAUACCCGCUGAACUUAAGCAUAUCAAUAAGCGGAGGAAAAGAAACCAACAGGGAUUGCCUCAGUAACGGCGAGUGAAGCGGCAACAGCUCAAAUUUGAAAUCUGGCCCUUUUGGGGUCCGAGUUGUAAUUUGUAGAGGAUGCUUCGGGCAAGGCUGUGGUCUAAUUCGCUUGGAACAGCGGGUCAAAGAGGGUGAGAAUCCCGUCUAGGAUCGUACGCCGCGUCCAUGUGAAGCUCCUUCGACGAGUCGAGUUGUUUGGGAAUGCAGCUCUAAAUGGGUGGUAAAUUUCAUCUAAAGCUAAAUAUUGGCCAGAGACCGAUAGCGCACAAGUAGAGUGAUCGAAAGAUGAAAAGCACUUUGAAAAGAGAGUUAAACAGUAUGUGAAAUUGUUGAAAGGGAAGCGCUUGCAAUCAGACUUGUGGCUGACGGUUCCCCCGGCCCCCGUGGCCGGGCUACUCCGUCGUGUCCAGGCCAACAUCGGUCUGGGUGGCUGGUUAAAGACCCCGGGAAUGUAUCUACCUUCGGGUCGACUUAUAGCCCGGGGUGGAAUGCGGCCCACCCGGACCGAGGAACGCGCUUCGGCUCGGAUGUUGGCGUAAUGGUUGCAAGCGGCCCGUCUUGAAACACGGACCAAGGAGUCUAACAUCUAUGCGAGUGUUUGGGUGUCAAACCCCUACGCGGAAUGAAAGUGAACGGAGGUAAGAACCCGCAAGGGCGCAUUAUCGACCGAUCCUGAUGUCUUCGGAUGGAUUUGAGUAAGAGCAUAGCUGUUGGGACCCGAAAGAUGGUGAACUAUGCCUGAAUAGGGUGAAGCCAGAGGAAACUCUGGUGGAGGCUCGCAGCGGUUCUGACGUGCAAAUCGAUCGUCAAAUUUGGGCAUAGGGGCGAAAGACUAAUCGAACCAUGGUUAAAGAGCGCCUAGGAGCGCCCGUCCAGGGCCUAUCAGGUGGUUCUCAACAGUCCUUCGGGGCAACAUCGUCCCUCUGGCGGGGUCACACCCGCAGCAGCCCCGGCUGUCCACAGACUAGGAGGCGGUGGUCAUCUCGGCCGAGAUGAUGAUGAUAUAGUCGGUCACGAU
rnacentral:rRNA from 1 species